CAAAACGAUGCUAAAACCCAAACUCCCGAAAGGCAAACCUCCUCCCCUCCUGCCCCUCCCUCCAAUCCUUCCACCCCAUCCCUCCCCAAGAGCUCAAGACCCCCAACCUCACCACCACCGCAUCCUGACCCUCUUGAAACAAUGCAAUUCCCUGAAUUCCUUUAAGCAGAUCCACUCCCACAUGCUCAUCUCCUCCAUCCACAAGCCCAACCACCUCCUCUCCAAGCUCGUCGUCGACCUCAAAGACCUCCCCUACUCCACCCUCCUCUUCUCCCAAAUCCCCCACCCCAACGACUUCUCCUUCAACCUCAUGAUCCGCGGCCUCGCCACUUGUUGGAACAAUCCCUCUCUCGCCCUCCAUUACUACAUCCGCAUGAUCGAAUCCGGCGCCAAGCCUAACCACUACACCUACCCCUUCGUCCUCCUCGCCUCCGCCAACCUCCAAUCCUUGUAUCACGGGCAAAAUGCCCACGUCUCCAUAUUCAAGACCGGGCUCCACUCCAAUGACCAUGUCCAGCAUUCUCUGAUCACUAUGUAUUCGAGAUGUGGCGAGGUGGGCUCCGCACGCAAGGUGUUCAAUGAAAUCUCCAACAGGGAUAUGAUUUCUUGGAAUUCGAUGAUUUCGGGGUACGCGAGGAUGGGAUUUGCAAGGGAGGCGGUCGGGUUAUUCCGGAUGAUGAGGGCGGAGGGGUUCGAACCGGAUGAGGUGACUCUGGUGAGCGUCCUAGCAGCAUGCGGAGACCUCGGGGACGUUAGGCUUGGAGCGUGGUUGGAGGGGAUGGUAGAAGGGAAUAAAUUAGUGUUGAACUCCUUUGUGGGGUCUGCAUUGAUUGAUAUGUAUGGCAAGUGUGGGGAUCUCGAGUCUGCAAGGAGGAUUUUUGAUGGGAUGGUGAAGAAGGAUUUGGUUGUGUGGAAUGCAAUGAUCACAGGGUAUGCACAGAAUGGGUUGUCCCAUGAAGCUAUUGCAUUAUUCCAUGCCAUGAGAGAGGCAAGCAUCGAGCCAGAUAAGAUCACGAUGAUUGGGGUGCUCUCAGCAUGUCCAUCGGUUGGAGGCCUUGAGCUGGGCUCAUGGCUGGAUGCAUAUGCUUUGCAAAGAGGUCUUCACCACAAUGUAUAUGUUGGCACGGCGUUGAUAGACAUGUACGCUAAGUGUGGAGACCUGGAACGAGCGGUCCAUGUCUUCGAUAUGAUGCCGCAGAAAAACAUAGUCUCAUGGAAUGCCAUGAUCUCUGCCCUUGCCUUCCAUGGACAAGGCCGAGAAGCCAUUUCACUCUUUGAACGUAUGAGGAACGAGGAAGGAGCAAUUCAACCAAAUGAUGUCACUUUUGUUGGGGUUCUCUCUGCAUGUGCGCAUGGGGGGCUUGUUGAUGAAGGUCGUCGGUGGUUUAAUUCCAUGGGAUCCGUGUUUGGACUAGUUCCAAAGAUUGAGCAUUAUUCUUGCAUGGUGGACCUUUUAGCACGUGCUGGACUCUUGGAAGAAGCAUGGGAGUUCAUUGAGAAGAUGCCAGAGAAACCUGAUGCAGUUGUACUAGGAGCUCUGCUUGCUGCUUGUAGGAAUUGUAGGAAUGUGGAAGUUGGAGAGAGGGUUAUAAACAAGAUUUUGGAGUUAGAUCCUUCGAACUCUGGGAAUUAUGUGAUUUCUUCUAAAAUUUAUGCAGGUUUGAAGAGGUGGGAUGAUUCUGCAAGGAUGAGAGGGCUGAUGAGGGAGAGGGGCAUCAGCAAAACCCCCGGUUGUAGUUGGAUUGAGGUUGAUGGCCAAGUCCAUGAAUUCCAUGCUGGUGAUGGACUGCACUUCAAGGCUUUGGAGAUUUAUCAAAUGAUUGAAAUACUGGUUGAGGAGAUGAAGAUGGAAGGAUACAGCCCGAAUACUGACCUAUUGUAAGGAAUCAUUCUGGGAAUGGUCAAAUGAUUUCAGAGCUGUGACAAAUUUGCUAACAAGGAGGUGGCUAGAAGAAACUCCUGGCUUUGGAGACAGAGUCCUCAUAUUCGGCCUUCUGAAAUUUUUUGAGCAUUCUAACAGGAAGAAGCAGCAACACAAGGAGCCUUGCAGAGACUAAGAACAAUUUCCCAAAUAUAUAUCAUUGGCAUCUCAAGCUCGCCUUACAGGAUGAUCAGUAUCAAUGACAUGAGGCAUCACAGAAAUGGAGCCGUCACACAAAUGAAUGGAUACUAGAGGACAGCUAUCACCUCUCCACUCCAGCUCCAUUUCUAGAUUAACAAUGAGAUCCAUCAUCUCAAAUGUCCUGAGCAAACACUGCAAUACCCCUUGUGGAGGGGGUUUGGCAUCUGCAGAUUCUCCUAAAAAAUAAAAAUCUCCUAAAAGCACACUAGAGAAAAAGGAACCAAGGAAUAACAACAUUCCCAAUGAACUCAUCAAUUUUUCCAGAGUUCAUGAUGAAGAUCUAAGAAGUAUAUUUUGACAUUUAAGGCUAAAAAAUGAUACAACACUGUUAAAAUUGUGUUCUAUGUAUUCGAUAAAUGGGGUUGUGUAUUCACUGUAUGUAUUCAACAUACAGUGUGAAUGUUUGUUUACCUUGGUCUUCUUGCAUAGUUGCAUGUGCAAAAUAUAUGGUAACAGAAGAUAUGUGAAUUCCGCUUGUGGUUA